UUGGUAAAUUUAUAAUACAAUGCACAUGAAUGAAUAUAUUUCUAUGGUUAUAUUUUCGCCGUUUCUCAUCACCUUUUAAACGCUUCAACGUUCUAUGUGUGCCGUUUUCCAUAGUCUCUCUGAAUGACCACCUAUUUAGAUGAAAGUAUUGAACACGUCGGUUAUGUAACCCGGCUCUGAAUGGCCACCCAUUUGGAUGGGCAUCUAUAAUAUAAUAAUUUUUUUUCUUCCUUUCACCUUGACACUGUCACUGACAAUGGAGCUUUUGUACUCUACUCUGAAUCAAAAUCCCUAUGAUUUGCACAUACAGUAGCAGUUUGAUUCAUAUUAUAGAAACCCAUCCGAAUCCGAUCCGAUCCCAACUUGCCGCCAAUGCAUGUCUAAUAGGGCAAGGUUGGGAUUGGAAACUAUGAUUCAUUCUAUGAGAAGAGAAUUGUUUUUACUCCAGAGCAGUUAAUUUGAAGUGCUUUGAGUCUAAAAUGCAUGUUGGAUAGUACAAAACAGAAUGAUGGAGGAGCUUCACUCGCAAGGGUCAAUGUCAAUCAGUGAAUUGAAUUGGUCUCAGUGGCUCACCACCAGCUCUUUUGCCGCUGACAAAGUUUUCAGAUUCAUAGCGGGUUCCACAGCUAGCCCUUUUGGCCACUUUGUAUUCUCCCCACUAUGUUUCUUCGAUAUAUCAUUCCUUGAGUCAAAUUGGUAAGAAAAGUCACUACAUGGGUAUUUUUCUUUUCUUUAGUUUCUGCCCAAAUUGAUCCAAAAACCUGUGCUUUUAUCUAUGCUCUGCUCCAAGUGUUGGCUAUUCCACUUAUAUUUUUUGUGCACUUAUGAUAUAUUUGGCAAUAGAACUCACAGCAACUAUGUUUGAGAUUAUACUGUCAUUGUUAUUGUUUUGCUCUGCUAAGAUAUUCUUUCUUUUGGUCAGCAUAAUCUAUCUUAGAUAUUUUCCCAAGCCUCCUCACAUUGUACUACAAGGGUCUGUUGUCUACUAGACGAGCUGUUGCAUGCUUUGUGGUUGGGGUGAUUUGAAACUUUUUUUAUCUUGGUUUAAGACUUUAGUCUAUUAAUCCAUGUAUUUUCACUCAAAAAAGGAGAAAAAACAAACAAACAAAUUGAACAAGAAUAAGAGGAAGCAUAAAAGGGCCUAAUCUUUUAUGAAAAAAUAAUACUAUGAUAACUAUGUGCUAUAGCCUCCUUUUAAAAAAUAUAUAUAUCAGUAUAGCAAGCCAAAAUAUAGAAGGCAGCAUGUUAUCCACAAGUGAUAAUUAAGUGAUGUUCAUACACAAGUAUGACUGGUCCAAAAAUAACUUCACUUUUCAACAAAACAUAACCAUCAGUGACUCACUCUGAAUGUAUAUAGUUGAUUUUAUUUUGAGCUGUUGCUACUAUUGGUAUUCUGACUUUGGGCGAGAUGGUUUUGGUUCCUUCUAGCAUGUCCCUUCUGUUUCUUCCUUCCUUUCUCCUUUUUAACAAAAUCGACUUGUGGUAGUGUUGUCAACAAUUAAAGCUCCUCUUCAACUCAUCUCAUGAUUUCAUUUCUCUAUUUUAAUUUUUACUUUUAUGCAUCCUACCACUUAGAACUGAUGUGAUUCCAUUCAAUAAAAUCCUAUGACUUUAUUUUUGGUGUUUGUUUCAUGUCUGAACUUGCUAUUACUUCAGCCGCAUACUUAAAAUUAAGGUAAUGGUGUGUUUUUUAAAUAUGGAUUUAGACUAUUUUUCCCCUAUUUAGGUCAAUAGUUAGUGUUUGGUAUUUAAUGUGUUCUCUUCCCCAGUUUUUUUAUCAGUUACUUAUUCCGCUAUGGAAAGUCAUGUCUUGCAAGUGAAUAUCAUGUUGGAAAAACUCCCAGAAGAAGAUUUUGGCCUUGAAAUAGAUAUCAGAGGGUACUCAAUACUUGAUAAUCCCUAUAUGCCGCCAGAGGUGAAAAAGUCAUGUCUUGAUGUUUAGCUCUACAAAGAAGGAACUCAAGAUUGUGAUGCAUCAAAUGAUAUCACUUCAGGGGGGGAUUACUUAAAUUUCCAAAGCAUAGCUAUGGAGAAUUGUUUUUUUUUUUAAGCUUAUAUCUGUCUUUUUUUAUCCUGUGAAUUCAAACUUUUAUAUAUUUGUAACAUGUUCAAUUGUUAUUUCUGUUCAAAGUUUCCUAAAUCAGCCCUAUAAAUUACAUUGAUAUGGUCAUGUUUGUUGGUUUAGUUGAAUGAAAGGGAUAGGAAUAAGGCAGAGGAAAGGGAGCGAGAGAACCAUGAAGAUACAGAAAAGGAGAGGGAAAGCUAUAGAGAUAGAGAAAAGGACAAGGGGAAAGAUAAAAUUAGAGAGUAGGGGCAGAUAUAUCGAGAUAAAGAGACAAUUGCAUAUAAUUUACCAUGGGCAAUUACCCUAUCUUCUUGAAUAAGUUAAGGUGCUGCAGGAUGUGAUGGUGGAACCAUCUCCGGAAUAGGUUUAUUUUCUGCAGUAUGAAAUACUCCUAGAGCAUAUUUUACACAUUGACAGCUAACAACUGAUUAACCACCUUAUCCUACUUGAUUUUUCCUUUACUCUAUCCCUACGUGUGCUUUUUCCUUCAACGCUAUCAAGGUUAGAUUUAAUUUAGCUUUAUUUAACAAGAGGACGAUUAACUUGAUCUAUUCCACCAACUUUUUGUUCUGAUCAGCUACUCGAGGAGGUUCCACUGUUACUGGCACAAAUCCUGAUCUACAUAGAUUAGGCAUGGAAGGUGCUCAAGAGGUGUGUCACAUUUUAGUUAUCUGCCAUGAACUGUUUGAUAAUCUCAAAUGUGGGAAGGGAGCAGUGUUGUAAUGCUAGGUUCUGACGAGCAAAAAUUCUUAGAAGCAGCUAUGGGUUAUGUGCCUGAAAAACCAAUCAUGAGCAAUGGAGAUUAUGCUGAUUUAAAACAGAGGCUACAGGAAGCAACGAUGGCAGUAGUGGCUAUUGUCAUAAAAGAAAAGCAAAGAGUGUUCAUACUCCCCUUAUAUUUCUCUGAGCCUGACUAACAAUUGUCCUUAUACUGGCCUAACAGUGCCUCCUAAGUCCUAACAUAUCCUUUUUACUCUGCAUUCAUUCUUCAUUUGGUUGUCUGAGGAGAACUUAUGAAUGAAAUGGUGCUUUAAGUUGUC